CAGUCGCCGCGGUAAUACAGAGGGUGCGAGCGUUAAUCGGAAUUACUGGGCGUAAAGCGCGCGUAGACGGUUUGGUAAGUCAGAUGUGAAAUCCCUGGGCUCAACCUGGGAACUGCAUUUGAUACUGCCUGGCUAGAGUAUCGAAGAGGGAAGUGGAAUUUCCGGUGUAGCGGUGAAAUGCGUAGAUAUCGGAAGGAACACCAGUGGCGAAAGCGACUUCCUGGUCGAAUACUGACGUUCAUGUGCGAAAGCGUGGGGAGCAAACAGGAUUAGAUACCCGCGUAGUCCCUGUCUCUUAUAC
rnacentral:rRNA from 1 species